AUCCUUUUGUAGUUCGUGUGACAAUGGGGUGUUCACACGCAUGUGUGAGAUGUGCCACCCUUGAACCUUGUUAUGAUGUUGUCACAUUACCCAUCCGACA
rfam:Nomascus leucogenys chromosome 13, whole genome shotgun sequence.